rnacentral:misc_RNA from 1 species
AAUUUCAUGUGUCAUUAGACAAGUUUGAGCCCCCAGAUGGAAAGUUUUCAAGCGUUGCUUCACAACCUACUUAAAGCUUAAUUUACAACGACGAAGUGGCUGAGAUGUUAUAAAGCUUUCACGAAAGAAGUGAGACGAGAGAAACAAACUCCAAAGUGACCCGUCCCUUGGAACGUGUAUUGAUGACAAAAUGCUCUGGGUAU